CAACCAUCCGGAGCGGCCGAGUGACGUGGCACGUCGACGCCGCAGCAACCCCCCGGUCCGUCGCGAGACGGCCGGGCGCAGGGUGCUACUGCCACGAUCGAUGGAGG
rnacentral:ncRNA from 1 species